UACGUAGGGUGCGAGCGUUGUCCGGAAUUAUUGGGCGUAAAGGGCUCGUAGGCGGUCUGUCACGUCGGGAGUGAAAACUCGGGGCUUAACUCCGAGCCUGCUUCUGAUACGGGCAGACUAGAGGUAUGCAGGGGAGAAUGGAAUUCCUGGUGUAGCGGUGAAAUGCGCAGAUAUCAGGAGGAACACCGGUGGCGAAGGCGGUUCUCUGGGCCUUACCUGACGCUGAGGAGCGAAAGCGUGGGGAGCGAACAGG
rnacentral:rRNA from 1 species